CAUCCCUAAGAAUUCCACUGGUACUGUAGGAAAACUUGGGUCUGGCCACUGGGCUCUUUGGAAUUGUUAUUACUGCAUUAAUUAAUCGUAAUUACCUGGGGUUUGUUUUACCAGGUUGGCCAUGUUGCUGUACAAAUCACCAAGUCAGAAGGAGUCCACCAUAGCCUAUCACAUCACAGUGAGUGUUCCUCUGGGCAUGGAGAGUCACAGGCUGGAGCACACUGCCAGCUGGAAAGGAAUUUUCAGACAAAUCUGAGAAUGGGCUUUGCUUUCUUGGUGUUGCUUUUCAGCUGCCUUCUGAAGGGAAGCAGUAAUACUGGGGUAUCUCCAGAGUUAGGGGUAAUUUGCUCUUUUUUUUUCCUAGAAAAGUGACCCAAGAUUUUUUCUACUCAAAGUUAAAAUGCUUUUUCAAUACUUUUUAAAAUACUUUUUAAAAUGCUUUUUUAAAAAUACUUUCCAGAUCAGACUUUCAGGCAGCCUGACCCCAUCUGUUCUGCUGCUGGUGCUGCUUAUUUUAUCUGCCCCUGAUGUUAACUUUUGCCCUAAGUGCAGUUACCAAGAGCAAUGUGAGCCUUCAUUUUGGGAGACCUGAACCCUUUUCUCCCUGGUCAGGUAGAGUGUGGUUUCUCAGGUGACUUUUUGCAUCUGUUCCAGCUGAGUUCAUCUUUUUAGGAUGAGGAUGACUAGAAUUAAACCUGGUUCCAGAGGCCUCAGCAGUGCUUUGUUCCACAGCAGGUUCAAAGUGAUCAUCUAUUGAAUUGUCUCUAAGAAAAUGAGGCCCAGUCAGAAGAUAAAUUCUCUAAACACCAUGCAGUUUUCAUGACCUGAACAUGAACAGGACUGCCAAAAUAUAGACCUGUCUGGAAGCUUACAAAAGCAACCUAUCAAGAAAAAGCCUCAUGUCAUCAUCAUGGUAUUGUGCUCCUACUAACCUCCUUUAGCUAUUCCUUGUUUCAGGUUCUCAAGAUGGAAGUCCUGGGAUGCAGGACAUGGGAUCUUUGCAACCUGGUUUACCUUCCCUUCAAUGUUACCUGUUAACUGGCAAUUGGUGAUUGUUGAUUUAAAAGAUUGUUUUUUCACGAUUCCUCCAUCUCACUGAGGAUGACAGUGAGAAAUUUGCCUUUUCAGUGCAAUCUAUAAGCAAGGCAGAGCCAGCAAAGAGAUGGCAAUGGGUAGUUUUGCUACAUAGAAUGUGAAACUCUCCCACCAUGUUCCAAUUGUACGUUGUUUGGGCACUGGCACCUUUGAGAAAACAAUAUCCACAGUAUCUUAUCUAUCCUUACAUAGAUGAUAUUCUGAUAGCAGGUGAGAGCAUGAAUGCAGCAAGCCUGCCACCUGCCCUGCAGCAGCAGCUGCAGAAGGCAGGCCUCCAAAUUGCUCCUGAAAAGGUGCAGCCUAACCAAAGGUGAUACAAAAGUGGAUGAAUGCAAAAGAUUGGGGAUUGAGCCGAAUGGAGAGGGCUUUCAAGCAGGUAUGAUAACACAGUGGCUGAAGGAAAGUGGGCUAGAAGCUGAAGAACUAAAUCUGUUAGGGUCAGUAGCUGGAAAUUAUUGCUUGUUCUUUAACUAUC